GUGCGCGCUUCGGCAGCACAUAUACUAAAAUUGGAACAAUACAGACAUUAGCAUGGCCUCUGCUCAAGGAUGACACAAAUUUGUGAAGCGUUCUAUAUUUAA